AAUCAACGCUGGCGGCGUGCCUAACACAUGCAAGUCGAACGAGAAAGGGUGGGUGUAGCAAUACAUUCGCCUGAGUAAAGUGGCGACCGGGUGAGUAACACGUGGUCAACCUACCCUCGAGCGGGGGAUAACCUGGGGAAACUCGGGCUAAUACCGCAUAACGUCCCGAUGGCAUAAGUCAUUGGGACCAAAGGCCCGCAAGGGGUCACUUGGGGAGGGGGCUGCGGCCGAUUAGCUAGAUGGUGAGGUAACGGCCCACCAUGGCCAUGAUCGGUAGCCGGCCUGAGAGGGCGCACGGUCACACUGGCACUGAAAUACGGGCCAGACUCCUACGGGAGGCAGCAGUGGGGAAUUUUGCACAAUGCCCGAAAGGGUGAUGCAGCAACGCCGCGUGAGGGAUGAAGGCC
rnacentral:rRNA from 1 species